UGAAAAGAUUUCGUACAGGUCAUAAAACCGAACUCCUUUUUUAUAUAGUUAAUCAGAGUGUUUAUUGAAUCAAUUUCGUUAAUUCGGUCGAUAAUUACGUUGUUAGUUUUUAUUAGUCUUAAUAGUUUAAAUCGAAAUAAUUAUCGUACGAUUCACCAUGUCAACUCGCCGUGUUUUGACUGCGAACAACAGCUGAUAGCGGUGUGUCAGAAGAAUGGCCUGCAAGACGGCGAUAGUGGAAAUUUCAGCUCAACUAACGUAUGACAGAUUAUAAAGAUAUUGGUGGCCACAUGGUUUUUACCUGUUGAUUCUUUUCAGCUCUUGAGGUUAACCUGUCACUUCUAUACCCACAUGCAUAUUCUUUAAUGUGUUCUACAGACUAUUUACCAGUAAUUCAAAUUAAAUAGGAUAAUUCAUGAACAGCUACUGUAAUGGAACUUUAAGAAAGCAUCAUGCCUUGUUGUGGUUUGUGUUUGAUAAGAAAUUAUAACAAACAAAAUUAUGGCUGUUUAAAGUAAUUUACAAUUGUUAGCUGUGAAAAUUUGUUUUUCAAUAAAAGUAUGCAAUUA